UACCAGCUCUCCGAGUGGUAGGGAUGAUUAUUGGGCUUAAAGCGUCCGUAGCCGGCUUAGCAAGUUUCCUGUUAAACCCAGCGACUCAAUCGUUGGAUCGCGGGAAAUACUACUAGGCUAGGAGGCGGGAGAGGUCAACGGUACUUCUGGGGUAGGGGUGAAAUCCUAUAAUCCCGGGAGGACCACCAGUGGCGAAGGCUGUUGACUAGAACGCGCUCGACGGUGAGGGACGAAAGCUGGGGUAGCAAACCGGAUUAGAUACCCGGGUAGUCCCAGCUGUAAACGAUGCGAGCUAGGUGUUGGGAUGGCUACGGGCCAUUUCAGUGCCGCAGGGAAGCCAUUAAGCUCGCCACCUGGGGAGUACGGCCGCAAGGCUGAAACUUAAAGGAAUUGGCGGGGGAGCACCACAAGGCGUGAAGCUUGCGGUUC
rnacentral:rRNA from 1 species